rnacentral:misc_RNA from 1 species
GCGGCAACAAACCACAAAGCAAAAUGCUGAGAAGAGUUUUACUAAAUGAAGUUUCCACUUGCCGUCAUUUUCUGUUCAACAAAGCAGCAACUUCUCUUUCAUUUCCUCUGCGCAGGAUUAACUCCUUUUUUUCUUCGUCUUCGCAAUCAGAAUUCCCCAACGCUCCUUUCGUCGAACAUUUGGAGAACCACAAUGCCCAACCUACCACUACCAUCUCCAUCGACCGCUCCGGACUUUAUAACCCCGAUGAGCAUUCUCAUGAAUCCACUUUGGAGUCGGAGCUUAUCAAGCACCUUAAAGGCGUUAUCAAGUUCCGAGGUGGCCCAAUUACAGUGGCUGAGUACAUGGAAGAAGUUUUGACAAACCCUAAAGCCGGGUUCUACAUUAAUCGAGAUGUGUUUGGAGCAGAAGGUGAUUUUAUAACAUCUCCUGAAGUUAGCCAGAUGUUUGGGGAGAUGAUUGGUGUGUGGGCCAUGUGUUUAUGGGAGCAAAUGGGACAGCCAAAAAAAGUGAACCUGGUAGAGCUUGGUCCAGGUCGAGGAACUCUUAUGGCUGAUCUUCUGCGUGUAUGAUGUCACACUCUAAUUAUGACAAUUUGUCAGGUUUCCUAUUUUAUGCUGAAGAAUAGUAUAUAUUGAUUCUUCACUUCCUUUUUUCUCCUUGUGUAGGAAGGCUUUAUUUCCUUUUGUACUGAGUAAGUGUAACUUUUACAUGUAGGGCGCGUCGAAGUUUAAGAGCUUCACUGAAUCAUUGCAUAUACAUAUGGUAGAAUGUAGUCCCGUGUUACAGAAACUUCAAUAUUGCAAUUUAAAAUGUGUGGAUGAACAUACUGCCAGUGAAGGUGUUGAGAAAAGGAAUAUUAGCACAUUGGCAGGAGUGCCUAUAUCAUGGCAUGCUUCAUUGGAGCAGGUUCCAUCAGGAUUGCCAGUAAUCAUCAUUGCCCAUGAGUUUUAUGAUGCUCUACCAAUUCAUCAGUUUCAGAGGGCUUCUCAUGGCUGGUGUGAGAAAAUGGUUGAUAUUGCGGAGGAUUCAACGUUUCGUUUUGUUCUAUCUCCGCAGCCAACUCCUGCAACUCUCUAUUUAAUGAAGCGCUGCAAGUGGGCUGCAAUUGAAGAAAUUGAUAAGCUUAACCACAUUGAAGUUUGCGCAAAAGGAAUGGAUUUGACUCAUACAAUUGCCAAAAGAAUAAGUUCUGAUGGAGGAGGGGCGCUUAUAAUUGAUUAUGGUCUAAAUGGAGUAGUCUCAGACAGUUUGCAGGCAAUUAGGAAACACAAGUUUGUCAACAUACUAGACAAUCCUGGAUCUGCUGAUCUCAGUGCAUGCGUUGAUUUUGCUUCCAUCCGGCACUCUGCUGAGGAAGUUUCAGAGGAUGUCUGUGUCCAUGGCCCAAUUACUCAGUCCCAAUUUCUUGGUUCUCUGGGAAUAAAUUUCCGUGUGGAAGCAUUGCUGCAGAACUGCACAGAUGAACAGGCAGAGUCCCUAAGGACAGGAUACUGGCGUCUGGUGGGUGAAGGUGAAGCCCCGUUUUGGGAAGGACCCGAUGAACAGGUGCCGAUUGGCAUGGGUACCCGGUAUUUGGCAAUGGCUAUUGUGAACAAGAAGCAAGGUGUUCCAGUUCCAUUUCAAUAAAGUUUGAGAUGCUUUAUGUUUUGUAAGAUUUUCUAACUCAAGCAUUUAUGCAUUAAUAGUUUAUUAUAAUUUAUAUUAUGCAAUAAGUUUCUAGUUUUAUAUUUCUUGCAAAAUCUGGUUCCAUCUUAUAUAUUGAGGUGUGUAUUCAAGGCUAUUUUUAUACUGUGAUUAGUUUAAAACGGUCAUUCCUCAGUUCAAUGUUGUCAAUAGAAAAUAUAAGAAGAAAUUAAAAAAAUGUAAAUAUGUCAUUUAGUAUAACAUCACUAGGGAUAUGCUUUAUUUUCAACACCCACGUCUCUGAUUCAAUUAUAUAGAAUUUGAAUGGUUUGAGAAUGAGAUAGGUGUGGAUUUAGAUAGAAUUCAAGUUUAAUGUUAGUUAAUAUUUUAUACUAAUAAAAUAAUAUUUACCAGAAUGGAACGACAUGGGAGGGUGCAUCUCUUAUAUUAAGAUGCAAGAAAUUUAAUUUUUCUUCUUGAGCAG